rnacentral:rRNA from 1 species
AGCGAACGCUGGCGGCAGGCUUAACACAUGCAAGUCGAACGGAUCCUUCGGGAUUAGUUGUAGACGGGUGAGUAACUCGUGGGAACGUACCCUUUGCUACGGAAUAACUCAGGGAAACUUGAGCUAAUACCGUAUGUGCCCUACGGGGGAAAGAUUUAUCGGCAAAGGAUCGGCCCGCGUUGGAUUAGCUAGUUGGUGGGGUAAUGGCCUACCAAGGCGACGAUCCAUAGCUGGUCUGAGAGGAUGAUCAGCCACACUGGGACUGAGACACGGCCCAGACUCCUACGGGAGGCAGCAGUGGGGAAUAUUGGACAAUGGGCGCAAGCCUGAUCCAGCCAUGCCGCGUGAGUGAUGAAGGUCUUAGGAUUGUAAAGCUCUUUCACCGGUGAAGAUAAUGACGGUAGCCGGAGAAGAAGCCCCGGCUAACUUCGUG